AUUGAACGCUGGCGGCAGGCCUAACACAUGCAAGUCGAACGAGUGGCGGACGGGUGAGUAAUGUCUGGGAAACUGCCUGAUGGAGCGGGAUAACUACCGGAAACGGUAGCUAAUACCGCAUACCAUAGGAUGUGCCCAGAUGGGAUUAGCUAGUAGGUGGGGUAAAGGCUCACCUAGGCGACGAUCCCUAGCUGGUCUGAGAGGAUGACCAUCCACACUGGAACUGAGACACGGUCCAGACUCCUACGAUAGGCAGCAGUAGUGAUUAUUGCACAAUGGGCGGAAGCCUGAUGCAGCAAUGCCGCGUGUGUGAAGAAGGCCUUCGAGUUAUGCAGUACUUUCGGCGGGGAGGCGUUACCCGCAGAAUGAACACCGGCUAACUCCGUGCCAGCAGGCUCGGUAAUAC
rnacentral:rRNA from 1 species